UACGUAGGCAGCAAGCGUUGUUCGGAGUUACUGGGCGUAAAGGGUGUGUAGGCGGUUGCUUAAGUUUGGUGUGAAAUCUCCCGGCUCAACUGGGAGGGUGCGCCGAAUACUGAGUGACUUCGAGUGCGGGAGAGGAAAGUGGAAUUCCUGGUGUAGCGGUGAAAUGCGUAGAUAUCAGGAGGAACACCGGUGGUGUAGACGGCUUUCUGGACCGUAACUGACGCUGAUGCGCGAAAGCGUGGGGAGCGAUCCGG
rnacentral:rRNA from 1 species